rnacentral:rRNA from 1 species
UGCAAGUCGAGCGGACAGAUGGGAGCUUGCUCCCUGAUGUUAGCGGCGGACGGGUGAGUAACACGUGGGUAACCUGCCUGUAAGACUGGGAUAACUCCGGGAAACCGGGGCUAAUACCGGAUGCUUGUUUGAACCGCAUGGUUCAAACAUAAAAGGUGGCUUCGGCUACCACUUACAGAUGGACCCGCGGCGCAUUAGCUAGUUGGUGAGGUAAUGGCUCACCAAGGCAACGAUGCGUAGCCGACCUGAGAGGGUGAUCGGCCACACUGGGACUGAGACACGGCCCAGACUCCUACGGGAGGCAGCAGUAGGGAAUCUUCCGCAAUGGACGAAAGUCUGACGGAGCAACGCCGCGUGAGUGAUGAAGGUUUUCGGAUCGUAAAGCUCUGUUGUUAGGGAAGAACAAGUACCGUUCGAAUAGGGCGGUACCUUGACGGUACCUAACCAGAAAGCCACGGCUAACUACGUGCCAGCAGCCGCGGUAAUACGUAGGUGGCAAGCGUUGUCCGGAAUUAUUGGGCGUAAAGGGCUCGCAGGCGGUUCCUUAAGUCUGAUGUGAAAGCCCCCGGCUCAACCGGGGAGGGUCAUUGGAAACUGGGGAACUUGAGUGCAGAAGAGGAGAGUGGAAUUCCACGUGUAGCGGUGAAAUGCGUAGAGAAUGUGGAGGAACACCAGUGGCGAAGGCGACUCCUCUGGUCUGUAACUGACGCCUGAGGAAGCCAAAGCCGUGGGGAGCGAAACAGGAUUAAAUACCCUGGGUAGUCCACGCCGUAAAC